rnacentral:rRNA from 1 species
ACAUGCAAGCUCGAACGCGAAAGUUCCCUUCGGGGAAGCGAUUAGAGUGGCGCAGGGGUGAGUAACACGUAGGUAAUCUACCUUUGGAUGGGGAAUAACAACCGGAAACGGUUGCUAAUACCGCAUAAUGCAGCGGCACCUAAUGGUGACAGUUGUUAAAGCGGGGGAUCGAAAGACCUCGCGUCUGAAGAGGAGCCUGCGGCGGAUUAGCUAGUUGGUAAGGUAAUGGCUUACCAAGGCGAUGAUCCGUAACCGGCCUGAGAGGGCGGUCGGUCACACUGACACUGACAUACGGGUCAGACUCCUACGGGAGGCAGCAGUCGGGAAUUUUGGGCAAUGGGCGAAAGCCCGACCCAGCAACGCCGCGUGAAGGAUGAAAUCCCUCGGGAUGUAAACUUCGCAAGAACAGGAAGAAUAAGUAAGAGUUAAUAUCUCUUACGAUGACGGUACUGUUUGUAAGCUCCGGCUAACUCCGUGCCAGCAGCCGCGGUAAUACGGGGGGAGCAAGCGUUGUUCGGAUUUACUGGGCGUAAAGGGCGCGUAGGCGGCCACCGCAGUCGGUUGUGAAAUCUCCGGGCUUACCCGGAAAGGUCACCCAUCCUGCCGGGGCUAAGUGCAGAAGGGGCAACUGGAAUUCUCGGUGUACGGUGAAAUGCGUAGAUAUCGAGAGGAA